UCUCUUUUUAUAAUCUGCUCAUUUUACAGAUGAGGAAACUGAUGCUCAUAGAGGGGGAGUGAUUUGCCCAGGAUAAGCCAGCUGGUCAGUGGCUAGUCCAGUGAUAUUUUUACUCCAUCACUUACUGUUCAUGAAACACGUAAAAAGACAGGGAUGGAAAAGCAAACAGAUGCCUGCAUUGAAUGACUUCUGGAAGCUUCUUGCAUGUUACCCUUCAUAUACCAGCUCCUUGAAAAAGGGAUGAUGGUGAUGAGGAAGAUGAUGAUGGUUUCUACCUAGUAAAAAAAUCAAGUUUAUUUUGUGUGAGCAGCUUCACCAUAGAGGAAAUGUACACAGACACAGAUUCAAUGUUCAGAAGAGUUCCUGUACAUAAAACACAGACUACACAAUGUCCCGAGAGGACUUAUGAUGAGAAAAAUGUCAAUCACAGCUUUAAGCCCUUGGUUUGGAAGGAGCUAAUGAGAAAGCGGAUUGGAAGACUGGAUCUCACAGCUCAUCUCUACACCCAGCAGGAGAGGGUUACCCCACAACUUUCAAGUCAUCUUUAUGUUCUAUAAGGAGACUAAGAUCAUAUUAGGCCAAACAGAUUUGCUAUUAAACUAUGAUGACCAACAAAAGAAUAGAAAUUGUAGAAAGAAGAGAACAAUCCUUUGUAUCUAGUCCUGCAGUGACCUGCUAUUGGGACCACAUGCAUACACCCCUUCCCCUACAGUUUCCCCCAUUCCAAAGGGAUAAAUCGAGUCCCUGCUUAUACUAUUUUAACAAAGGCUUUUAUCCACUUAUAAAUAGAUAACGAGGUAAGAGAAUGUUUCAGUGACAAAUCCUUCCAUUGAAAAUUAAGUAAAAGGUAAACGGUGAAAGAAAAUGAAAUAGAGACAAUGUCCUACUGAAAGAGAAGAAGCACUGCUCUGUGAUAGUUACCACUAGCCCAGUGGUUCUGAAAAUUGGGCAUAACCUUGAGAAAUUGUUAAAAUACAGAUUACUGGACCCAGAAACUCCCAGAGGUUCUGAUUUAGCAAGUAAAGGGUAGGCCAUGAGAAUGUGUGUUUUCACCAAGUUUCCCACUGUAUGUAAUACACUGCAUCAGUGAUACCCCUGUGUCGUCAGCAUAUUUGUCAUUGUGGUGUUUGGCUGAGUGCAAAUUGGCUUUCAAUUUUUCUCAUAUAUAACUCAGACAUACUCUGCUGUGCUGAAAUCAGACAGGCAGGGACUAAUACAGGAAGGAAAAGGAAACCACCCAGAGCCUAACUGGUUUUGUAAAAUACUGACUUCUUAUCCAUUAAAUAGCUGCUGCUAUUAGUCUCUCUUGCAAUUCCUUUCUGAACCUACUACUCCGUAUUUCUAUUGCUGCAGAAAAAGGAAAAUGAAAACAAGGACAAAGCGAACAAACAAAAACCUGGCUUGAUAAGAUAUGAUACUGUAAAGU
rnacentral:lncRNA from 1 species